AACGCUAGCUACAGGCUUAACACAUGCAAGUCGAGGGGCAUCGGGAAGUUAGCUUGCUAACUUUGCCGGCGACCGGCGCACGGGUGAGUAACGCGUAUCCAACCUUCCCUAUAGUAGAGGAUAGCCCGGAGAAAUUCGGAUUAAUACUCUAUGUUCUUCCAUGCGGACAUCUAAUUGGAAGCAAAGGUUCACCGCUAUAGGAUGGGGAUGCGUCUGAUUAGAUAGUAGGCGGGGUAACGGCCCACCUAGUCGACGAUCAGUAGGGGUUCUGAGAGGAAGGUCCCCCACAUUGGAACUGAGACACGGUCCAAACUCCUACGGGAGGCAGCAGUGAGGAAUAUUGGUCAAUGGGCGAGAGCCUGAACCAGCCAAGUAGCGUGCAGGAUGACGGCCCUAUGGGUUGUAAACUGCUUUUAUACGGGGAUAAAGUGUACCACGUGUGGUGUUUUGUAGGUACCGUAUGAAUAAGGACCGGCUAAUUCCGUGCCAGCAGCCGCGGUAAUACGGAAGGUCCGGGCGUUAUCCGGAUUUAUUGGGUUUAAAGGGAGCGCAGGCCGAAGGUUAAGCGUGACGUGAAAUGUAGCCGCUCAACGGCUGAACUGCGUCGCGAACUGGCUUUCUUGAGUGAGUUCGAUGUGGGCGGAAUUCGUGGUGUAGCGGUGAAAUGCUUAGAUAUCACGAAGAACUCCGAUUG
rnacentral:rRNA from 1 species